rnacentral:rRNA from 1 species
CCUACGGGAGGCAGCAGUGGGGAAUAUUGCACAAUGGGCGCAAGCCUGAUGCAGCAACGCCGCGUGAGCGAAGAAGCGCCUCGGCGCGUAAAGCCCUGUCAGCAGGGAAGAAAAUUACGGUACCUGAAGACGCAGCCCCGGCUAACUACGUGCCAGCCGCCGCGGUAAUACGUAGGGGGCAAGCGUUAUCCGGAUUUACUGGGUGUAAAGGGGGCGCAGACGGCGAUGCAAGCCAGGAGUGAAAGCCCGGGGCCCAACCCCGGGACUGCUCUUGGAACUGCGUGGCUGGAGUGCAGGAGGGGCAGGCGGAAUUCCUGGUGUAGCGGUGAAAUGCGUAGAUAUCAGGAGGAACACCGGUGGCGAAGGCGGCCUGCUGGACUGCAACUGACGUUGAGGCCCGAAAGCGUGGGGAGCAAACAGGAUUAGAUACCCGGGUAGUC